UCGUUAUUAAAGUCGCGAUAUGGACCGUAGGUUCGCGCGAUGUAUGGCUCAGAUCAAGCUUGACGAGCCGGGCUCAUCACUAAACCGGGUUGCUUAUCGGCUCGGGUCGACUCGGGUAAACUGCCGACUCUAGUUUCCGAGUCGAUUCUAGCGGGUUCUUAUAAAAGGUCAAAAAAAAAAAAACAUAACGAAAAAGAAAAGGCCUCCACGCGACGCGACUCGACCAGCGUUUUUGGCUGCCGUCGGACGAGACGGCUCCCCUCUGCAACUGCGAAGGUCGCUUCCCCUCUGCCGCUGACGAAGGCGACCAUCUAUCCUCUGCCACUGUCCCGGGCACCUCAUCCAUCUGAGGGCAUUUGUACAAUUAGAAUGGCAAAAGGAUUAGUAUGGCAACUACUGAAGACUUGGCAAGGAACCUAGCAAGUCAUUGUACCAUCAAAUCUUGAGAAGCCUCAACCCCCCAGAACUCCUACUUACCCAUGCUGCUCGUCUUGCCAAGAAAGCAGAGGUCCACAGCAUCUUCUUGUUCGGAGCUGAAGAACGUUCUCUUCGCAACAUUGCUGACCUCAUUGAUGCUGCUAAUUACUCCCUUUCCAUCCUUAAUCAGGGUCGCCUCCCAUAGUAUACAAAUGUCGAUAGGAACUCUUGUUUGCCCUCUCACACUAAUCCUUGGAACUGUCUAUCGUAUUGCUUCAUUGUAUUAUGACCUUUGAAGUGAAACUUGUUAAAAUAUGCACUUUAAUGAGGAUUGUUAACCUGGAUAUCAUUUAUGCUUUGUUGCA